rnacentral:rRNA from 1 species
UCGGGCGGCAGCGGGGUGGGAGCUUGCUCCCACUGCCGGCGAGCGGCGCACGGGUGAGUAACACGUAUGCAACCUGCCCCUGUCAGGGGGACAACCCGCCGAAAGGCGGGCUAAGCCCGCGUAUAUCGCCCCGGGGCAUCCCGGGGGGAGGAAAGGAGCGAUCCGGACAGGGAUGGGCAUGCGGCGCAUUAGCUGGUCGGCGGGGUAACAGCCCACCGAGGCGACGAUGCGUAGGGGUUCUGAGAGGAAGGCCCCCCACACUGGUACUGAGACACGGACCAGACUCCUACGGGAGGCAGCAGUGAGGAAUAUUGGUCAAUGGGCGGGAGCCUGAACCAGCCAAGCCGCGUGAGGGAAGAAGGUACAGCGUAUCGUAAACCUCUCUUGUCAGGGAACAAAGGCGGGGACUAGUCCCCGGAUGAGGGUACCUGAAGAAAAAGCAUCGGCUAACUCCGUGCCAGCAGCCGCGGUAAUACGGAGGAUGCGAGCGUUAUCCGGAUUUAUUGGGUUUAAAGGGUGCGCAGGCGGCCUGUUAAGUCAGCGUAAAAGCCCGGGGCUCAACCCCGGCGAGCCGUUGAAACUGGCGGGCUGGAGUUGGAGAGAAGUACGCGGAAUGCGCGGUGUAGCGGUGAAAUGCUUAGAUAUCGCGCAGAACCCCGAUUGCGAAGGCAGCGUACCGGCUCCACACUGACGCUGAGGCACGAAAGCGUGGGUAUCGAACAGGAUUAGAUACCCUGGUAGUCCACGCAGUAAACGAUGAAUGCUUGCUGUCCGGGCAGAGAUAUGCCUGGGGGGCGAAGCG